rnacentral:rRNA from 1 species
GAUGAACGCUGACGGCGUGCCUAAUACAUGCAAGUCGAGCGAACGGACGAGAAGCUUGCUUCUCUGAUGUUAGCGGCGGACGGGUGAGUAACACGUGGAUAACCUACCUAUAAGACUGGGAUAACUUCGGGAAACCGGAGCUAAUACCGGAUAAUAUUUUGAACCGCAUGGUUCAAAAGUGAAAGACGGUCUUGCUGUCACUUAUAGAUGGAUCCGCGCUGCAUUAGCUAGUUGGUAAGGUAACGGCUUACCAAGGCAACGAUGCAUAGCCGACCUGAGAGGGGGAUCGGCCACACUGGAACUGAGACACGGUCCAGACUCCUACGGGAGGCAGCAGUAGGGAAUCUUCCGCAAUGGGCGAAAGCCUGACGGAGCAACGCCGCGUGAGUGAUGAAGGUCUUCGGAUCGUAAAACUCUGUUAUUAGGGAAGAACAUAUGUGUAAGUAACUGUGCACAUCUUGACGGUACCUAAUCAGAAAGCCACGGCUAACUACGUG